rnacentral:rRNA from 1 species
UACGGGGGGGGGCAAGCGUUGUUCGGAAUUACUGGGCGUAAAGGGCUCGUAGGUGGCCAACUAAGUCAGACGUGAAAUCCCUCGGCUUAACCGGGGAACUGCGUCUGAUACUGGAUGGCUUGAAUUCGGGAGAGGGAUGCAGAAUUCCAGGUGUAGCGGUGAAAUGCGUAGAUAUCUGGAGGAAUACCGGUGGCGAAGGCGGCAUCCUGGACCGACAUUGACGCUGAUGAGCGAAAGCUAGGGGAGCAAACGGG